UACGGAGGGGGCUAGCGUUGUUCGGAAUUACUGGGCGUAAAGCGCGCGUAGGCGGCUUUGUAAGUUUAGAGGUGAAAGCCCGGAGCUCAACUCCGGAAUUGCCUUUAAGACUGCAUCGCUAGAAUCAUGGAGAGGUGAGUGGAAUUCCGAGUGUAGAGGUGAAAUUCGUAGAUAUUCGGAGGAACACCAGUGGCGAAGGCGGCUCACUGGUCCGGUACUGACGCUGAGGUGCGAAAGCGUGGGGAGCAAACAGG
rnacentral:rRNA from 1 species